UGCCAGCCGCCGCGGUAAUACGGAGGGUCCGAGCGUUAUCCGGAAUCAUUGGGUUUAAAGGGUCCGUAGGCGGGCUAUUAAGUCAGAGGUGAAAGUUUGCGGCUCAACCGUAAAAUUGCCUUUGAUACUGGUAGUCUUGAAUUAAUAUGAAGUGGUUGGAAUGUGUAGUGUAGCGGUGAAAUGCAUAGAUAUUACACAGAACACCAAUUGCGAAGGCAGAUCACUAAGCUACGAUUGACGCUGAGGCACGAAAGCGUGGGGAGCGAACAGGAUUAGAUA
rnacentral:rRNA from 1 species